rnacentral:rRNA from 1 species
UACAGAGGGUGCGAGCGUUAAUCGGAAUUACUGGGCGUAAAGCGCACGUAGGUGGCGACGUAAGUCGGGUGUGAAAGCCCCGGGCUCAACCUGGGAAUUGCAUUCGAGACUGCAUUGCUGGAGUACGGAAGAGGAGGGCGGAAUUCCCGGUGUAGCGGUGGAAUGCGUAGAGAUCGGGAAGAACAUCGGUGGCGAAGGCGGCCUGCUGGGCCGUUGCUGACGCUGAGGCGCGACAGCGUGGGGAGCAAACAGG